rnacentral:rRNA from 1 species
GCGUAUAUUAAAGUUGUUGCAGUUAAAAAGCUCGUAGUCGGAUUUCGGGUCGGGCCGAGCGGUCUGCCGAUGGGUAUGCACUGUUCGGCGCGGCCUUCUUUCCGGAGACCGCGGCUACUCUUAACUGAGCGGGCGUGGGAGACGGAUCGUUUACUUUGAAAAAAUCAGAGUGUUUCAAGCAGGCAGCUCGCUCUUGCAUGGAUUAGCAUGGGAUAAUGAAAUAGGACUCUGGUGCUAUUUUGUUGGUUUCGAACACCGGAGUAAUGAUUAACAGGGACAGUCAGGGGCACUCGUAUUCCGUCGAGAGAGGUGAAAUUCUCAGACCAAUGGAAGACGAACCACUGCGAAAGCAUUUGCCAGGGAUGUUUUCACUGA